AGCGAACGCUGGCGGCAGGCUUAACACAUGCAAGUCGAGCGGGCAUCUUCGGGUGUCAGCGGCGGACGGGUGAGUAACGCGUGGGAACGUGCCUUCUGGUUCGGAAUAACUCAGGGAAACAUGAGCUCAUACCGGAUACGCCCUUUUGGGGAAAGGUUUACUGCCGGAAGAUCGGCCCGCGUCUGAUUAGUUAGUUGGUGGGGUAACGGCCUACCAAGGCGACGAUCAGUAGCUGGUCUGAGAGGAUGAUCAGCCACACUGGGAGUGAGACCCGGACCAGACUCCUACGGGAGGCAGCAGUGGGGAAUAUUGGACAAUGGGUGCAACCCUGAUCCAGUCAUGCCGCGUGAGUGAUGAAUGCCUUAGGGUUGUAAAGCUCUUUUAUCCGCGACGACCAUGACGGUACCGGACGAAUAAGCCCCGGCUAACUUCGUGCCAGCCGCCGCGGUAA
rnacentral:rRNA from 1 species